AUUCUGACAGUAUCUCUGUUCUCCUCUAUUUCUGUUUUGCUUGCUGUGAACUUUAUCACGGUCAUAUCGAUUUGAUGAGUUGGCACAUCCAAAGCAAGUUUUUACUGGGAUUACAGAUGGAUCAGGACUGCUUGCAUCGUUUGCUUAUCGUUGAUGUCAGAGGAGACUCUGACACCACCCCAGGUCCUGGUCCCCACCCACAGGCCUAUCCUGAGGUACCUGCUGACUUCUCUGCUGUCCAGGUACUGUUUCCUGGCAGAAUACCUGGACAGACACAGGGAAUGCUCCAGUGGACACCAUGUCAAGAAUAUAGGAAAACAAUUACGUCUGGAAGAGAAGCAGAGCACAUUGAAAUAGGCCAGUUUUCUGGUGGAGAAUAUCACAUUUACUGUACUGUCCCAAACUCUCAGCCUUUGCUAAGUGGCCCAAUGGCCCUAGCCAUUUGCAUUCCAGAAGCUGUGGGGAGUGUCAGCCUCAUCCCAGAGCUAAAAGCCAUGUGGGGCCAGGACAGAGAAGGGAACAGAACUCUCAGGAAUAAAAGCAGAAGAGGCCUGAGGUUGGUCUCCUCACUUACCACACUAAUAAGUGUUGCCUGAAGAAGGAAGAGUGAAGUUUAUUGAUGCUGUAUUAGCUGUGAUUAGAAUGAGAAGAAAACAGUCAGUUCCCUGGGGGAGACUAUACAUGGGGCUUCCCACAUUCUCAGCUCUUACAGGAGGAUGCUAAAGGUCUGCAUAUCUCACUCUCAGGUCAGGUAAACAAGGGCACCAGCCCACCUCCCUCAGGUUGCAGCCAAUCCCGCCUUUUCUGUAGCAGAGAUCACAUCAGUGUGGAACAGGCAACCCAGCCAUUCAGCAUGGGAAAGUCUGUCUCUCCUGGGAGUCCUGCUAAUCUUUGCUCAGCUUGGGGGACAUGUUCUGAUCCCAGAGUCACCCGCAUGCUGACAUGCACAGCCUCGGGGAGCAGCUGUAGCAGGCUUUAUAAAGGCGGGCUGUGCCUGCCUACAGCAAGCCCCAGAGUACUGUCUAAGCACCCAGUUGGGAACCUGGGGCAAAAAGAGAAAGAAUUUCAUUUAUGUCAGCAUUUAUUGUACACAAAAGGGUGCCAUGAUUAGUUCUGAAGACCUCAAGAAAACAUCCUCAUUGGUCUCAUUGAAAACCAUAGCAGCUGGGCAGAUAAAUCAUUAUGUAAACUGCACCACUGCUAUCAGAAUAUUUUAAGGAAUGAGAGGAAAGAUGAGAUGAUUCUAUUCAUGAGCGCUAUUCAUAUUGCGCAUGUGCAGACACACACACACACACACACACACACACACACACACACCCUAGUUCUGAAUUUGCUAUAAUUAGUUUUGUUCUGUACAGAAAGCUUCAUUUAUUGGGGAUGCCAUUAAACAAGUGAAAUACAAAUUACAAGUGACAUUGAUAUGAUCAUAAUCGCUCCUUCCUGCCUGCCAGAGCUAUUUUCUGAGAAGAACCUGCAUUCUACAGAUGGCAUGAAAAAGAAAAAAAAGAAGAAACCGCAGCCUGCAGAGCUCACCAUUAUUCCUGAGAGCCUCUCGGUUCAUUAGCUGGAGCAGCCAGGUCUCCAUGAGCCACAGCUGAUCAGCAAACGGGAAAUGAGCAAGAGCUUAAAUUCCCAACAAACCCAGUCAUUAACAUUUGCUGCCUGCACCCUGCAAAUCCAGUAAAUAAAAUGUGUCAUCAUUCAUCAAGACAAAAUAUCAUUACUAAUUGGGAUUAAUUUGUUGCUGUGGGAUUGCUAACCUUUGCUGAAAGAAAAUAAAACUACUC
rnacentral:lncRNA from 1 species